rnacentral:lncRNA from 1 species
GAAGAAGUAUUUCUGCUGAGAAACUACAACAAGGGAACGAUAGAACUAGAACAUCAUCUACUUUACAACCCCUAAAAUACUGGAUCAAUGCAUGCUAAUGCCACAAAAAGCCACCUGAUUUUUGGCUCCUGGUGGGAAUGUACAAUCCAUCCAAGCUAUUCUUGUCAAGAAACUCAAAUCUAAAUCAGAUUGAGCCUCACUACCAAUUUACCAAGAACAUACAGAUAUCUUAGUGCACUUUCUGUCAGUAUAACCAAAUACCACAGACUAGGGAAUUUCUCAGAAAAAGAGGUUUAUUGGUCUUAUGAUUGUGAAAGCUGAGAAAUUUAAAGUCAGGCAGUAUUAUGGCUUGUGUCUAGAUGACCUCCUAAAACCUCAUGUGGUCAUAGGUGGAGCUUUUUGAAGGUGGCUGGAUCUAGACUCUAUGAUGCUGGGAUUAAAGAUGUGAUGCUGGGUUUGAUUUAUGGUGUGAUGCUAGGAUUAAGGGUGUCUGCCCCACCUUGGGCAUGAGCACUACCUGCCCUGGGCAGGUAGCCUGGAUAGAAUAUAAGGGACGGAAAGAGGGCUGCUGUUGUCACUGCUUGUCACUUGCUGCUUACUAUUUCACUGCUUUGCUUCCUGCCUUCUGCCUGCCAUGAACUGUUUCUCCUCUGUGAUGCCCCUCUGCCAUACCACCCUGCCUUGGAGCCAGCUGACUACGUACUGAACCUCUACAAACUAUGUUCCAGAAAGUUGGAUCCCAGAGUGCAGAGAAUACAAGCCACCAUCAGCACGUGAUGAACAGCGGUGGAUAUGAAAAUGAAGUUUUUUGUUUUAAAUUCUUUUACUGGUACAUUUUAGGCCCUGCUGUGGUUGGAAGCAAAAUCCUGGAUUUCCUCAGUAGCUUGCAGUUGGAGGGCUGUUACUGUGGUUAUGACUUCAGCCUGAGUGCCAGGAGAAUUGAGCACUUAGCUUCUUGGUUAUGCUACCCAAUUUGAAUCCGAAUUGGCCUCCUGGGCUCCCUACAUCUGGUAAAUACACCACUGGGCGGCAAGUACAGACACUGGGAGCCUCAGCACCAUCUGUCACUCCUAACCACUUGCUUAGGAACACUGUGGAGGGGGAGAUUUUUAACUGUUUUGUUCUCUGCUGCGUCCUCAGUGUCUAUGACAUUGUCUGACACAUCCCAAAUGCCAAGCACAACCCAAAUUCCUG